rnacentral:rRNA from 1 species
UGGGGAAUUUUGGACAAUGGGGCAACCUGAUCCAGCAAUGCCGCGUGUGUGAAGAAGGCCUUCGGGUUGUAAAGCACUUUUGUCCGGAAAGAAAACGUCGUGGUUAAUACCCGUGGCGGCUGACGGUACCGGAAGAAUAAGCACCGGCUAACUACGUGCCAGCAGCCGCGGUAAUACGUAGGGUGCAAGCGUUAAUCGGAAUUACUGGGCGUAAAGCGUGCGCAGGCGGUCCGCUAAGACAGAUGUGAAAUCCCCGGGCUUAACCUGGGAACUGCAUUUGUGACUGGCGGGCUAGAGUAUGGCAGAGGGGGGUAGAAUUCCACGUGUAGCAGUGAAAUGCGUAGAGAUGUGGAGGAAUACCGAUGGCGAAGGCAGCCCCCUGGGCCAAUACUGACGCUCAUGCACGAAAGCGUGGGGAGCAAACAGGAUUCAGAUACCCUGGUAGUCCACGCCCUAAACGAUGUCAAC